rnacentral:rRNA from 1 species
GAACGCUAGCUACAGGCUUAACACAUGCAAGUCGAGGGGCAGCAUGAUUGAAGCUUGCUUCAAUUGAUGGCGACCGGCGCACGGGUGAGUAACACGUAUCCAACCUUCCGUACACUCAGGGAUAGCCUUUCGAAAGAAAGAUUAAUACCUGAUGGUAUCUUAAGCACACAUAUAAUUAAGAUUAAAGAUUUAUCGCCGAAAGAACGGCCCGCGGAAGAUUAGGUAGUUGGUGGGGUAACGGCCUACCAAGCCGACGAUCUAUAGCUGGUCUGAGAGGACGAUCAGCCACAUUGGAACUGAGACACGGUCCAAACUCCUACGGGAGGCAGCAGUGAGGAAUAUUGGUCAAUGGGCGAGAGCCUGAACCAGCCAAGUAGCGUGAAGGAUGACUGCCCUAUGGGUUGUAAACUUCUUUUAUAAAGGAAUAAAGUCGGGUAUGUAUACCCGUUUGCAUGUACUUUAUGAAUAAGGAUCGGCUAACUCCGUG